rfam:Paracoccus halophilus strain JCM 14014 Contig_2, whole genome shotgun sequence.
AACUCUCAUCAACUUCAACCUCCCUGUUGGACUUGAGCCGGGCCUCGUGCCCGGCUUUUUUU